AACGAACGCUGGCGGCAGGCUUAACGCAUGCAAGUCGAGCGCCCCGCAAGGGGAGCGGCAGACGGGUGAGUAACGCGUGGGAAUCUACCCAUCUCUACGGAACAACUCCGGGAAACUGGAGCUAAUACCGUAUACGUCCUUCGGGAGAAAGAUUUAUCGGAGAUGGAUGAGCCCGCGUUGGAUUAGCUAGUUGGUGGGGUAAUGGCCUACCAAGGCGACGAUCCAUAGCUGGUCUGAGAGGAUGAUCAGCCACACUGGGACUGAGACACGGCCCAGACUCCUACGGGAGGCAGCAGUGGGGAAUAUUGGACAAUGGGCGAAAGCCUGAUCCAGCCAUGCCGCGUGAGUGAUGAAGGCCCUAGGGUUGUAAAGCUCUUUCAACGGUGAAGAUAAUGACGGUAACCGUAGAAGAAGCCCCGGCUAACUUCGUGCCAGCAGCCGCAGUAAUAC
rnacentral:rRNA from 1 species